GGGGUCCAACCGCACACUCUGUUCUUUGGAACCCAAUGAUCAGGCCUCUACUUGGUCUUACCAUAUAUGGAGUCAUAUGGUACCAAGGUGAAAAUAACGCUUGGCAGCCUGAAACGUAUUCAUGUAAGUUCCAGGCACUGAUCAACGACUGGCGACAAAAGUUUCACACGUCUUCUUUGGGGGAAACGAGCGCUACCUUCCCAUUUGGUUUCGUUCAGUUGGCAGGGUAUCGUCAGAGCGCUACAAUGAUCGGAGGGUUUCCUGGACUGAGAUGGGCCCAAACAGCAAACCAUGGCACUGUUCCUAAUCAAGAUCUGAAGAAUGUCUUCAUGGCGGUCGCUAUGGAUCUACCUGACUACA